rnacentral:rRNA from 1 species
UACGUAGGGUGCAAGCGUUGUCCGGAAUUAUUGGGCGUAAAGAGCUCGUAGGCGGUUUGUCGCGUCUGCUGUGAAAUCCCGAGGCUCAACCUCGGGUCUGCAGUGGGUACGGGCAGACUGGAGUGCGGUAGGGGAGAAUGGAAUUCCUGGUGUAGCGGUGGAAUGCGCAGAUAUCAGGAGGAACACCGAUGGCGAAGGCAGUUCUCUGGACCGUAACUGACGCUGAGGAGCGAAAGCGUGGGAGCGAACAGG